AACUGUGUCCUCCACCAGCUCAUCCAGAAGCAUCUUUCCAUGCAUGGGGUCAGAGAUGCUGUGAAACUGGUGAGCAUUUCUGAGGAGGUGGAGGAUCUUUGUCAACUGGACAAGCUAAUCGACUUGAUUAUCCCAUGAAGCCCAUCCCAGCUGGUGAGGGACAUUCAGUGGGUGGCCAAGGGUAUCCUGGUGUUGGGUCACAACGAAGGAAUCUGUCCCAUCUACGCUGAUGCAGACGCCAGCACUGACAAAGUCCUCAAGAUUGUUUCACCAGAUGAAGAUUCAUGCUGGCCCUCGGUUUGUCUCCUACCUGACGUUCCAGUGUGAGUCCGGUGAGGGGACAGCACCAUUUAAAAUUUAGUGUAUAUUUUAACAGUUUAAAAGCAUUGCUCUGCUGUUACUUUGGGGCACGUUUAAAUACGAUUGUCUUUGAAGUGAGCCAUCACAAUGCAGCUCUCUAACUCAUGCUAGUAGACACAAUUCUGUGCAGCGUCUUGAGUAUUUCUGGACUUAAAACCCGUUGGCCAUCUUGCAUGCGGACAAUGUGGAAGACUAACUCUGCCAGUUAAUUUGACAGUUCUAACCAAUAUCAUGAAGGUGUUCCAUUGACAAUCUAUCUCUUGUACUUUGUAUUGCUCACAUAGUGACAUUCAUAUCACGCAUAUACUGCAACAAAAGCAACCAUGUAAAGAUGAAAAACAAAGAAAUAGGCAUUGAAAAACAGAGGUACAAACACUUCAUUAAAAGGGAAGAUAGGCAUGUGUUGAAUAACUGACGUUUGGUCACUUAGAAAACACUACAGUGAGCAGCAUUGGCAAAAUUUGAGGACAAAGUGCUGUUGACAUUUCUACACUGAGGAUUAUUUCACCUGCUGUGGAGGAUGUGCUGCUGCCAUCUAGUGACCACAGAAGGUACCUCUGACUAAAUGUGCUUGUUUGUCUGUCACCUAAUUUUUAAAGUUGAUCAUUGCGAGUUAUGAUUAGAUGUAUAAAUAGAUGACAAAGUUUAUUAAUCAGCCAUAAGGAGAAAAACCCUCCAUCUUUUGGUGGUGAAUUUGAAACCUAAGUUUAUUCACUCAAUAUAAUAUUUGUAUAUGAACUGACACCUAAUUUGGUGUAUUUCAUUAUUAAGGCAGCGAAAAACCCACUAAUUUCUCCUGAUGACAUGUUGGUUAGUCUACAUCAUCCUGUCUAGUAUGUUUGUGGAUUGAUGUUCACAGCUUACUGAUUUAAGAGCUUAUUGCACUGGUGUGUAUUAAGAUGACAUGGGCACAGUUAUUUGUGAUUGUA